GCCUGGGUGGCUCAGUCAGUUGAGCGUCUGACUUCAGCUCAGGUCAUGAUCUUGCAGUUUGUGAGUUCGAGCCCCGCAUCAGACU
rnacentral:tRNA from 1 species